rnacentral:rRNA from 1 species
UACGAGAGGCCCAAACGUUAUUCGGAAUUACUGGGCUUAAAGAGUUCGUAGGCGGCGCAGAAAGUAGGGUGUGAAAGCCCUCGGCUCAACCGAGGAAUUGCGCUCUAAACUACUGUGCUUGAGGGACCUAGAGGUGAGCGGAACUGAUGGUGGAGCGGUGAAAUGCGUUGAUAUCACUCGAAGGAACAGCCGGAGGCGAAGGCGGCUCACUGGGGGUCUUCUGACGCUGAGGAACGAAAGCCAGGGGAGCGAACGGG